rnacentral:lncRNA from 1 species
UUGGUCAGAGCAAACACCUCGAUUCGGCCGGGAAGGGCGUUGUGUGGACUCCGGGGAGCAGGAGGCGAGCAGGCAAAGGUUUUCGCUUUCUUGAGGCAGAUAUGCUAAGAAAGCACAGAACCAUACUGGCUGCAGCGGGUUUAACCUUCCCAAUUCCAAGAGUGGGAGAGAGGCGAUUCCACUGUGGUCUCCUAGAACUUCCAAACCCCAGAGGAAGUACCCUUCGGUGGAGACUGGGCAAUCCAUCUGCCUCUCAGACGAAAUGACUGUGUUUGGAUAUCUGUGGAGUCCUGAGUCUUUACAGCCAUCCUUUCAGUCCCUAGACAGGACUUUUCUCUGUCAAACACUCUUCCUGAAGUCUGUGAAGACCUAACUGUUCCCUCAGUAUUGGCUAAACAGCUUGAAGGGCUCGUAUUUUUAGUAGCUUUCAGAAAUAAAGGAGCUAUUAUUUAACCGGAUAAGCCAUUUCCUCCAGCAAAGUACCCCUGGCUGACCCUUGUUUACCAUCCAAUUAUCCAGCAGCAUAGUGCUAGCAACACUGUGGCCCACAGUUAAAUAAUCUCUACAAGAAAUUCACUUCAGGCUGAUUGUCAGAGUUACAUGGUCUACUUCUGGUUUCUUAUUAUUUCUUUUUUUUCUGUGUGUGUUCCUUAACAACAGGAAGGAAGUUUCUAGAAAGCUUUUUGUGACCACCCACCCCACAAAGACAAAGUCCCCCCCGCCCCCCAGUUUUGUAGGCACCCUUACUUUUUAGUCGGUUGCCCUCACUAAAUGAAAAGGGCAGGGACCUUGUCUGGCUUGUCAAGCUGCCUGUGUCCCCAGGGUUGGGCAAGAUGCCUUGCACAUAGUAUGAAAGCAGUAAAUGUUGAAUAAACAAGUACAUGGAUG